CACUAACCAUCCAGUGUUAGUGUAGACCCUACAAGUUAAAGGGUAUGAUCCCAAACAAUAUUGCCCUUUACUUUAGAAACCAGCUGGACUUCAGGAGUCUCCAGACCUCCUGCACUCUGGCCAACUAGCCAUAAAUUCAGAGGUUUCCAUGACUCCCUCAAGUUCAGAAAUUGGCUAGAAAGAUUUACACAACUCAGGAAAGUACUAUAUUUACAAUUAUAGCUUUUUUUUUUUAUACAGGGUCUUGCUCUGUCACCAGGCUGGACUGCAGCGGCACAAUCACAGAUCACUGCAACUCUUGAUCUCCUGGGCUCAAACAAUUCUCCCACCUCAGCCUCUUGAAAAAAAAUAAUCUGUUGACAAUGAUAAAAAUGGCUGACAGAGCAGUCAGACUCAAGGUGGAAAGACCAGACGAGAGACUUACAACAGUGUAUUUGGAAAAAUUUUAACAAGAAGAGGACGAGCCAAGACAGGUUCAGCUAGAUGGGCCUUUCAAGUGAUCACCAUUGCCAGUGAAUGUGGAAGCAUCAACUAUCAUCUGUAAACCACAUCUGUUUAUAAUCUUUACACUGGCAAAUGACAGAGUGAGAAAUGAAGCCAAGAGAGAAGUGUUGCUUUCCCCAUGUCCCACAGUUGGUUAUCCAUCACAUCAGACCAUGUGCAAGAUCUUCCCACGACACCACUAUGUCUAGAUUCCUACUGAACUGCAAACUCAUGCCUCGUUAAUACCUCAAUCGACAGGCAUGCAUAGCUGGCUGCUGCACAACAGAAAUAUAUUGGAAAUCAGCAAAUGGAGAGGGAUCCUCUUACCAAAGAUCUUUAAGGAAUUUCUCUAAUACAAUUAUUGUGUAUCCAUAAUAA